ACAUCCCUAUAAAAUCGCCGAAUGAAGACAAGAAGAUGACAUUUUAUAUAUAUAUAUAUAUUAUAUAUAUGUAUGGCGUUAGUAUCGAGGAUGGGAAUUGUCGAUGUUUAAUCUUUAUCUUUCACCCCAACCAUUUAUAUGAUACAAUUUCAAAAUUUGUAUUCAAUAGUAUAAUUUAUUGCAGUAUUGUAUUGUAUUAAAUUUCUAUAAUAUUCGAUUAUUUACUCUGGUGACGAAGCUCUUUUGCUCACAGGCGUUUUUAUACUCAAAUGCACUUUAGAUAAAGUUGUUAAUUAAUCCUAUGUCCGUAAGUAUAAGUUUUCUACUAUUAGCCGAUCACGACAAUAUAAUAAUUACAAUACCUAGUUGAACUAUAAGAUAUAGUAUCUUGAAGCUGCAAAAUAAGGUAGCCAACCAUCGUUAUCUGUUACCAUAAGAAUAUUGCCGGUGGCUGAGUAACAACAUUUUUAUGGGAGAUGAUGUACAUCUAUUUGAAUGUAUAUGGACAUAUAUGGAAGUGAAUUAAAAACAAAUUCAAA